GUGGGGAAUAUUGGACAAUGGGCGAAAGCCUGAUCCAGCCAUGCCGCGUGAGUGAUGAAGGCCUUAGGGUUGUAAAGCUCUUUCAGUAGGGAAGAUAAUGACGGUACCUACAGAAGAAGCCCCGGCUAACUUCGUGCCAGCAGCCGCGGUAAUACGAAGGGGGCUAGCGUUGUUCGGAUUUACUGGGCGUAAAGCGCACGUAGGCGGAUUGGUCAGUUAGAGGUGAAAUCCUGGAGCUCAACUCCAGAACUGCCUUUAAUACUGCCAGUCUAGAGUCCAGAAGAGGUGAGUGGAACUCCUAGUGUAGAGGUGGAAUUCGUAGAUAUUAGGAAGAACACCAGUGGCGAAGGCGGCUCACUGGUCUGGUACUGACGCUGAGGUGCGAAAGCGUGGGAAGCAAACAGGAUUAGAAACCCUUGUAGUCC
rnacentral:rRNA from 1 species